AACUGAUAGGAAUGCUUAGUGGCGGACUGGUGAGUAACGCGUGAGGAACCUGCCUUUCAGAGGGGGACAACAGUUGGAAACGACUGCUAAUACCGCAUGACAUGCGACUGGGGCAUCCCGGAUGCAUCAAAGAUUUUAUCGCUGAAAGAUGGCCUCGCGUCUGAUUAGCUAGUUGGUGGGGUAAGGGCCCACCAAGGCGACGAUCAGUAGCCGGACUGAGAGGUUGACCGGCCACAUUGGGACUGAGAUACGGCCCAGACUCC
rnacentral:rRNA from 1 species